UCCAUUGCUUAGUUGGUAGAGCACAAUGCUCUUAACCUUGUGGUCAUGGGUUCAAGCCCGAUGAUGGAG
rfam:Triticum aestivum genome assembly, contig: Triticum_aestivum_CS42_TGACv1_scaffold_571706_7AS